UACGGAGGGUGCAAGCGUUGUUCGGAAUCACUGGGCGUAAAGGGCGUGUAGGCGACUGAUUAAGUCAGAUGUGAAAGCCCUGGGCUCAACCCAGGAAGUGCAUUUGAAACUGAUCAGCUAGAGUACAGGAGAGGAAGGUGGAAUUCCUGGUGUAGAGGUGAAAUUCAUAGAUAUCGGGAAGAACACCGGUGGCGAAGGCGGCCUUCUGGCCUGAUACUGACGCUGAGACGCGAAAGCGUGGGGAGCAAACAGG
rnacentral:rRNA from 1 species